rnacentral:misc_RNA from 1 species
UCCCCCGUGAGGGGGCAGUCUCGCCUGACAUAAGUAACAGACAACGAGGGUUGCGUUCGUUACCCCACUGAAGGGAACAGCUCAAGCCACGAACUGACGACGACCAUGCAUCACCUGCCAUACACCCUCGAAGGCUUCCCCCGUUUCUGGGGGCGUGCAGUAUGGUUUCUAGCCUUGGUAAGGUUCUUCGCUUAUCGACGAAUUAAGCCACAUGAUCCACCGCUUGUGCGAGUCCCCGUCUAUUCCUUUGAGUUUUAAUCUUGCGAUCGUACUACCCAGGCGGCUCGCUUACCGCGUUAGCUUAGUCCCACAGAGGGUCGAUACUCCGUAGAACGAGCGAGCAACGUUUAGGGCUAGGACUAC